GACGAACGCUGGCGGCGUGCUUAACACAUGCAAGUCGAACGGAAAGGCCCUGCUUUUGUGGGGUGCUCGAUUGGCGCACGGGGGAGUAACACGUGAGUAACCUGCCCCUGUAUUUGGGAUAACUUCAGGGAACUGCGGCUAAUAUCCGAUAGGAGCUCCUGCUGCAUGGUGGUGGUUGGAAAGUUUCGGCGGUUGGGGAUGGACUCGCGGCUUAUCAGCUUGUUGGUGGGGUAGUGGUUUACAAAGGCUUUGACGGGUAGCCGGCCUGGGAGGGUGGCCGGCCACAAUGGGACUGAGAUACGGACCAGACUCGUACGGGAGGCAGCAGUGGGGAAUAUUGCACAAUGGGCGGAAGCCUGUGGCAGAAACGCCGCGUGCGGGAUGACGGCUUUCGAGGGAUAAACCGCUGUCGCCUGUGACGAAGCGGGAGUGACGGUAAUGGGUAAAGAAGCACCGGCUAACUACGUG
rnacentral:rRNA from 1 species